rfam:Diaporthe helianthi strain 7/96 Scaffold_2509.1, whole genome shotgun sequence.
UUUCAUGAUGAGAGUAAUUUGCGAUUGAUUCCACCUGGUGGCCGGCUCGCCUGCUGUGCUAUACCUUGUGGUUAAGUGAUAGUCACUUCUUACAUAUUCUGAAC